ACACCGUCAUCCUCUCUUGCCGUGGCGGAGCUGUCUGGGAACAUGGGUCUUCCUGGUCCUGGUGCCGAAGACUGUAGGGAGCUGAUGUAGCUGGAGGCAGUGUCACUAACACUGCUCACUGCAACCCCUUCCCUGUGGCGUGUGGUGGGACUGCACUUCUCAGCCUCCUGUGGGUGGGCAGAGCCAGGUGACGACUCCUGUCAGUGAGUUAUGAGUGGAAAUGAUCUCUACCUCCAGGCGAGAGCUGUUAGUCCAUAAUGCAAGACUCCCCACCUUCCUCUUGUCUUCUAGCCCAGGGCAAAAAGACAGUCCAUGUAUUUAGUUCUUCAAGGGCAAGUGGACACCUCCAUGUUCCCUGAUUGUGGAAUAUUAUCCUCAAAGGAAUUUCACACACCAAGUCUCUUCCUCCAAAAUCUGGAAGAACAAGGACCCAUUUCAUACCCAGUAAGGAAAGGGCCAGGCCUAGCAAAAGUAAAGGACAGCAAUUCAUGGCAAGUUUGAGACAAAAAGAGUUCUGCAGGACCACCUUGCACAGAGGGUGCCUGGAAUAUAACCACCCAGUGUGGGAGGAAUUGGGGUUCCAGUGGCCCCUCUUUCUUGGGCCUCUGUGAUUUCUGAGAGAAAACCCAGAGGCAAGCUCUGUAAUUUGCCAAAUCUGGUGUAUUAGUCACUCUU